CUACGGGGCGCUCCAGUGGGGAAUAUUGGACAAUGGGCGAAAGCCUGAUCCAGCAAUGCCGCGUGAGUGAUGAAGGCCUUAGGGUUGUAAAGCUCUUUUACCCGGGAUGAUAAUGACAGUACCGGGAGAAUAAGCUCCGGCUAACUCCGUGCCAGCAGCCGCGGUAAUACGGAGGGAGCUAGCGUUGUUCGGAAUUACUGGGCGUAAAGCGCACGUAGGCGGCUUUGUAAGUUAGAGGUGAAAGCCUGGAGCUCAACUCCAGAAUUGCCUUUAAGACUGCAUCGCUCGAAUCCAGGAGAGGUGAGUGGAAUUCCGGGUGUAGAGGUGAAAUUCGUAGAUAUUCGGAAGAACACCAGUGGCGAAGGCGGCUCACUGGACUGGUAUUGACGCUGAGGUGCGAAAGCGUGGGGAGCAAACAGGAUUAGAUACCCGUGUAGUC
rnacentral:rRNA from 1 species